rfam:Schistosoma haematobium scaffold227_23, whole genome shotgun sequence.
AUCCAGCUGACGAGUUCCAAACAGGACGAAAUACAUGCCCGGUAU